GACGAACGCUGGCGGCGUGCUUAACACAUGCAAGUCGAACGGAAAGGCCCUGCUUUUGUGGGGUGCUCGAGUGGCGAACGGGUGAGUAACACGUGAGUAACCUGCCCUUGACUUUGGGAUAACUUCAGGAAACUGGGGCUAAUACCGGAUAGGAGCUCCUGCUGCAUGGUGGGGGUUGGAAAGUUUCGGCGGUUGGGGAUGGACUCGCGGCUUAUCAGCUUGUUGGUGGGGUAGUGGCUUACCAAGGCUUUGACGGGUAGCCGGCCUGAGAGGGUGACCGGCCACAUUGGGACUGGGAUACGGCCCAGACUCCUACGGGAGGCAGCAGUGGGGAAUAUUGCACAAUGGGCGGGGGCCUGAGGCAGCAACGCCGCGUGCGGGAUGACGGCCUUCGGGUUGUAAACCGCUUUCGCCUGUGACGAAGCGUGAGUGACGGUAAUGGGUAAAGAAGCACCGGCUAACUACGU
rnacentral:rRNA from 1 species